rnacentral:rRNA from 1 species
UGGGGAAUAUCGGACAAUGGGGGAAACCCUGAUCCAGCAAUACCACGUGUGUGAAGAAGGCCUUCGGGUUGUAAAGCACUUUAGGAGGGGAAGAAGGAGUUUAUACUAAUAAUAUAAGUUCUUGACGGUACCCUCAGAAUAAGUACCGGCUAACUCUGUGCCAGCAGCCGCGGUGAGACAGAGGGUGCAAGCGUUAAUCAGAAUGAUUGGGCGUAAAGGGCGUGUAGGUGGUAAUCCAGGUUUGGUGUGAAAGCUCUCGGCUCAACCGAGAAAGUGCAUCAAAUACCAGAUUACUAGAGUGAGAGAGAGGACUGCGGAACUUUCGGUGUAGCGGUGAAAUGUGUAGAUAUCGAAAGGAACAUCAGUGGCGAAGGCGGCAGUCUGGCUCUAUACUGACACUGAGGCGCGAAGGCGUGGGGAGCAAACAG